GCCAUGCCAGGCUUUGAGCAGAGUAACUUCAUUAGAGGUGACAGGCUCUCCAAAACGGGCAGGCACAAUAACUGCUGGUGUGGGCGUGUGGGUGCCCUGUAGUGGGGGGAUGACAAGAUGGACAGGCUUUCGUGGCAGGAAACCAUUUAGAGGUGGUCCUGAAGGACUGAGGCAAGACCUGACCUGACGGCCUCCCACCUUCCCUCUCUGAUGGGUCGCAUCCCCCCCUCUCAGAGCUCACCUGCAGAUUCCCCUCACCCACCGCCGGAACUGCUUGGAACCCUGGACCAGUCUCGACAGGGAACAGAGGAGGAACACACAUACAGACCACAACCACAAGAGGACACCAUGUACUGGGCCACUGCAAGGCCAAGUACACACAAGCAGGGCCAGUGUGAACAGUGUGCUACACCUUGUGGCUGUCUUAUGAAGGAGUCGGAAAAAGGAAAAUUCCUGAGGGCUCUCCGUGACAAUACGAGGCUACUUAUUCACUCUGUUUCUCCAACCUGCUUCACCAAAACACCAGGAAAAUAAAUCCUGAAAACAAAGUACUGUCAUUCAUUCAUCCAUGCAAAAAUAUGAAGUACUUGAAAUUAAGGAGCAGGGACAUACACAGAGGACAGUAUUGGUGAAAAUGUGCUUAGAUUCGCAGAGCCAAGCCCAAGCUGUGGACCCUGACUCAGCACCAACACCACACUUCAGUGUUGGCUGUAGAGAGAAGGGCUUCCUGCAGAGUGGAGAGGAAUAACCAUGGAAAUGAUUCAAGACACCAGAGGGGAGGAAACAUACAACCAGAGGCUGGAGAAUACUGACAAGAUGAAAACUAUGAUUCCACAAAACAAGAAUUAAAGGAGAAAGAAAGAAGGAAGGAAGAAAGGGAGGGAGGGAGGAAGGAAAGUAAUAGGAGAACAAAAGGAGUUUAAAAGGGAGCUGAUGGUGCUUGGGGAAAACUUUCUUGCUCAUUAAUCCAACCCAACCCUUUUGUCUUCCUGCUGGUUUGGCCAUUAAUGAGGUAAAUGAAACUUCAUGUAAAAUGUGCUUCCCAUCUGCUUGUGUGAGAAUUAGGUUUUCAACCCAAGUUCCUCCAUAACAGUAUUCAGUGUUAUGAGAAACUACAUAAAUAUCUACAAAAUGUCUGUCAAUGUCUACCAGGCCUGCAAAACCCUCCAAGUGAGAAAAGAAUGACGGGUGAAUGUUAUACAGAACCAAACAUCAUGUAUGAUAAAGACAUUUUCAAAUACACCAGGCAUCAGGGAAUACAGAAUUCACAAGCUGAUCCUGGAAAAACCAUUGGAAGAUGAACUCUAAUCAAUGAAACGGAGUUUCUAUAAAUUCAUGGAAGAGACAAAAACAAAUUUGCUCUCACAUUCUGAUAUUUAAUUCACUCACCCUUCUUCCUACAGUCAUAAUUUCAUACCAGAAGCUGAGAGAGGGAUGGCAUUUUCUACAUGCAAGUCCUCCUCUAAAUCCAGCAGAUGCUAAUAUACUAAUGUGCACUAGGCAACUCCAACAGAAGCACAUGGAAUGCAGUCUUUCCCAAACUUCUUUGAUUCAAGAACCCUUUUCUUUUGGAGUCUUAUUGGACAGGUUUCUGCAGAAUAUACCUAAGCAUUUCAGGAUAGCAUGUUCAUGCCACAAACCAAUGCCUACUGUAUGAACAAUACUCCAAAAUACUGACCUUAUAUGAUAUGAUAGAUGAGUAAUCAGUUUCUCUGUUCAUUCAUUCUCCAUUCGUCUUUUACAGAGGACCUAUUCUAUUUAGGCAUCAUGCUAGGUAAUAGUGGCUCAAAGCAGAGUAAAGCACAGGCAAGCCUACAGCAAGUUCAUGGGAAAGUCAUCAAUUAAUGAUUACAGAAUGUUGGAGUUCCCGAUAUGGCUCAGUGGUAACAAAUCCUGCUGGUAUCCAUGAGGACUCAGGUUCCAUCCCUGGCCUUGAUCAGUGGGUUAAGGAUCCGGCGUUGCUGUGAGCUGUGGUGUAGUUGCUGUGGCUGUGGUGAAGGCCAGCAGCUGCAGCUCCAAUUCAGCCCUCAGCUAGGGAACUUCCAUAUGCCUCGAGUGCAGCCCUAAAAAAGAAGCAAACAAACAAAAAAACAAUUGCAGAAUGUUGUUUGCUGUAGUAGUACAAUCUAAGAGUCUAGGAGCAAGAAUGAAAAUAGUAUAUUAUCUUCACAAGUCUACACCUAUUUCAAGGAGGGGGCUAAGAGUAGAAUAUGACACUGUCCCCGCCUGCCCUACUCAGAAGAAAUGUGUGUGGUAGGGUAAGUGUAGACAUGCCAGGAGUCACACCCGCCUGACUGUCAGUGCAUCUGGGUGUGGGUGACCAGGGAGCGUGAGAAUGAGAGUAAAAGGGAGAGAGUGCUCAAUGUGUAUGUUUGUGAUUCUCCAGGAGUGGAAUUCUCAGUCAGGCCAGACCAUAGCAAAAGCAGCCUCCUCAGCCCCCAGAUCUAUUGAGGUUUUCCCAGCCUGUCUCCCAGCAUUACCCAGUCAUUCAUUCUGGAGCAUCUCCUUGCCCUCUCAGGUUCCUGCCCCUCAUGGACCUCCCUGGCCACAGGGGCAGAGCCGGCUCCUGGCCUCCUCAUUACCAUGAUGAGCAGGGGCCUCUUCUCACUAAAACCACUGAUGAACCCCAACCAAAGUGUAUUCCUAGGUUCUUCGUUCUUAUUACACUGCUGUAUUUGACUUGUUUUAUUACAACUUAUUGUUCUAUCUACCCACCUUCAACCUAAGCUCCCUGAAGGUCUACAGCCAGAGAAAAUGUGAGCAACCCUGCUCAACCCCGGGCUCCCCUUACAAAUCCCUUACUCACAGUCCUUGGCUCUGAAUGGAACCUGGCAGUCUCUAUCCCCUGAUGGUUCUCCCACACAGAACCUGACCUGAGAUGCUAGGGGGCGGCCACUGUGCACAAAUGCCAUCACUUAGCUCUGGAGGCAGCAGUCAGGACCAGCGGCCACAGACAUUAUCUCCCCUGAGAGGGCAUUAGAACUGCUCCCAUAAGUAUGGCAGCUCAGGCAUCCCAGGCGCCAACAUGCCCCUGUGCUCAAUGGCAAUCCAGCUGGAACAGUCACUGAGGGACCCACACACCAUUUUAAUUUGUGGGGUCAAUAACCCUCAGACUGCAAUGCUGCGUCUCUGAUUUGGCCCUUUACUGCAAGUAGCUUUAAUGUUCUGCUUUAUUUUAUGUUACAUACCGGCAGAAUUCCCUAUAAAAAAGCACUUUAACACUGCAGUACUGUGCUCUUCAGAUGCAUUUUCCUAAAGAAGGAAAUACUGCUAACGAAUGCAUUUCUGUUUGUCCUGUAAAGCACCUUUUCUACGUUGGGUUUGUGAGAGGACUGGUUCUGGAUGGCUGACCUCUCAGUGGUGAUCCUGAGCAGAAAAUAUACUGUUAGAUAUUCCAAAGGUGCUCUCUGGGUAUAAUUAACCAAUUAAUUAUAAUUUAUUACUAAUUUUGUCCUUUCUUUCCCAACAUGUGUUUAAGUCUAUACAGUCCCCUCUAAAUAUUCCUUUAACUCUCACAGAACUUUUUUUUUCAUAUGUUUUUAAUUGUACUACUUUCAUCAUCAGUUCAAACUUAUUUUGACUACUUUUCCUUCGUCCCAAUAUUUAUUUAAAAAUACAUUUAAGUUUCAGAUAUAUAUGGCUUUUCCAGUUAUCAUUCUGUUACUAAUUUCUAGCAUAGCUACAUUUGGUUUAGAAAACAUACUGUUUAUGAUUUCAAGAUUUUGGAAUAAGUUGAAACUUGCUUUUGGUCCUGAGUACAGUCAUUUUUGGUGGGAGAGUUAUUUUGUGUCAUGAAAGCUUUAAAAAAAAAAAAGCAUAAUUCUACAGUAGUUGGGUGCAGUGUUUUACGUAUGUUCUCUGAUUAGUUGGGUAUAGCAUGUUCUUCUAUACUGAUUUUUUCUUUUUUUUUAUUUAUACAACAGAAAAUUAUUUUAAAAUUCUGAAGGGUAAAAGUCUGAUAUCAAGGUGUUGGCAGUAUUGGUUUCUUCUGAGGUCUCUCUCCUUGGCUUGUAGAUAGCUGCUUCUUCCUAUAGUCUUCCUGAUUUCUGCUUGUUCUAUUAUUUGCCAGAGAGGUUUAAACCUCUAAUUAUUAUUUUAUAUUUGCCUAUCUAUAAUUUUUUAUUUAUAUAUAUACGCUUAAUUUAUUUUGUAUAUAUGUUUUAUAUAUUUUAAAGUCUUAUUAUUAGGUGUAUGAAAAUUGAGAAUGGUCAUAUAUUUCCAGGUAAACUCUCUAGUAAUGCUUUUUGCCAGAAUUCUAUUUUGUCUAAAAGUAACAUACUACAUCAGCUUUCUUUUGGCCAGUGUUUGCAUCCUUCUUUAUACCAUUUUAAGCUUUAUGUUUUAUUUUUAGAUUUAUUUCUUGAUAUUCAUCAUUUACCUUGAGCAUCUGAUCCACUAAUCACUUAUUGUAAUUACUGCUAUCUUUCUUCAGUCUACUCUCUUUUCAUAUGCCUUUUAUUUGCACUAUCUUCUAUAUUUCUUUUUCUUUCCUAUCUUGGCAUAUGUGUUACCUCCUCUUAAUUUGGAAAUUACACACUUUCCUAUUCUUUUAGUAGUUAUAAUAAAAUCUACAAGACACAUUUACA
rnacentral:lncRNA from 1 species